rnacentral:rRNA from 1 species
ACUCCUACGGGAGGCAGCAGUGGGGAAUAUUGCACAAUGGGCGCAAGCCUGAUGCAGCCAUGCCGAGUGUGUGAAGAAGGCCUUCGGGUUGUAAAGCACUUUCAGUUGUGAGGAAGGUGGUGUCGUUAAUAGCGGCAUCAUUUGACGUUAGCAACAGAAGAAGCACCGGCUAACUCCGUGCCAGCAGCCGCGGUAAUACGGAGGGUGCGAGCGUUAAUCGGAAUUACUGGGCGUAAAGCGCAUGCAGGUGGUUUGUUAAGUCAGAUGUGAAAGCCCGGGGCUCAACCUCGGAACUGCAUUUGAAACUGGCAGACUAGAGUACUGUAGAGGGGGGUAGAAUUUCAGGUGUAGCGGUGAAAUGCGUAGAGAUCUGAAGGAAUACCGGUGGCGAAGGCGGCCCCCUGGACAGAUACUGACACUCAGAUGCGAAAGCGUGGGGAGCAAACAGGAUUAGAUACCCGU